UACGGAGGGGGUUAGCGUUGUUCGGAAUGACUGGGCGUAAAGCGCGCGUAGGCGGAUCAGGAAGUUGGGGGUGAAAUCCCGGGGCUCAACCCCGGAAUGGCCUUCAAAACUCCUGGUCUUGAGUUCGAGAGAGGUGAGUGGAAUUCCGAGUGUAGAGGUGAAAUUCGUAGAUAUUCGGAGGAACACCAGUGGCGAAGGCGGCUCACUGGCUCGAUACUGACGCUGAGGUGCGAAAGCGUGGGGAGCAAACAGG
rnacentral:rRNA from 1 species